rnacentral:lncRNA from 1 species
GCCCCAUAAUUUUGUUUUUUAAUUUUGGUGCGUGACAUUAAAGAAAAAUUGAUGGAAAUCGAAGAGAUAUCAAGUGACUUAAAGAAGAAGGACUCUCCAUCCUCCUUAAUGCACAAAAGGAGUGGGUGGCAUUUAUUUUUAGCAUGGACACUAGGUGGCAUGGAGGAGUCCUUCCACACUUGAAACACUUCCAAAUUAGGUAGGAAUCUAAUUAAAAUAGACCUAAUCCAAUCAGGUCAAAGGCAAUAGGUUUGGUUUAGCUCAAACACUUUGAACU